rnacentral:other from 1 species
GAGGUUGCGCGCGGGUCCAUGCUCUGACCGUUCCUCGAAUCAGGGAGCCGUUCCGGACGGGUUUGUGCAAGCCGGCCUCGUAGUCGGAAGCCUUCCCCCGUCCUCUUGGCCCCCACCUGGUGAACCCAGGUUCGAGUAUUCCCGCGCGCAGCCUCU